AUUGAACGCUGGCGGCAGGCUUAACACAUGCAAGUCGAGCGGAGACUUCGGUCUUAGCGGCGAACGGGUGAGUAAUACCUAGGAAUCUGCCUAUUAGUGGGGGAUAACGAAUCGAAAGGUUCGCUAAUACCGCAUACGUCCUACGGGAGAAAGGGGGGAGUCUUCGGACCUCUCGCUAAUAGAUGAGCCUAGGCCGGAUUAGCUAGUUGGUAGGGUAAAGGCCUACCAAGGCGACGAUCUGUAGCUGGUCUGAGAGGAUGGCCAGCCACACUGGAACUGAGACACGGUCCAGACUCCUACGGGAGGCAGCAGUGGGGAAUAUUGGACAAUGGGGGCGAACCCUGAUCCAGCCAUGCCGCGUGUGUGAAGAAGGCCUCGG
rnacentral:rRNA from 1 species